AUUGAACGCUGGCGGCAGGCCUAACACAUGCAAGUCGAACGAGUGGCGGACGGGUGAGUAAUGUCUGGGAAACUGCCUAAUGGAGGGGGACAAAUACUGGAAAGGGAAGCUAAUACCGCAUACCAUGGGAGUGGCCCAGAUGGGAUUAGCUAGUAGGUGGGGUAAAGGCUCACCUAGGCGACGAUCCCUAGCUGGGCUGAGAGGAUGACCAGCCACACUGGAACUGAGACACGGUCCAGACUCCUACGGGAGGCAGCAGUGGGGAAUAUUGGGCAAUGGGCGCAAGCCUGAUGCAGCCAUGCCGCGUGUAUGAAGAAGGCCUUCGGGUUGUAAAGUACUUUCAGCUGGGAGGCGUUAUCCGCAGAAGAAGCACCGGCUAACUCCGUGCCAGCAGCCGCGGUAAUUC
rnacentral:rRNA from 1 species